rnacentral:lncRNA from 1 species
CAAGAGGAAGCCCUGGUAUAUCUCUUCUGGCUGGGUUCCGGAGUUACCAAUUAUUAUUUGGCUUAGCCUUUGUGCCCACUCUGCGCAUCAGAGCCCUGGAGAGGAGAAGAAGGGAGGAGCAUCCCACACCCCUAAACGUUUUCUCCACAGAAACAGCAAAGUGCAGACCAUGGAAGCUGGAGGGAACAGGAAACCAUCCAGCACAACCUCUCAUCCAACAUAGCUCCCCUCUUUCCAGCAUCUUCAGUGGCUGGUCAACUCACAUCCAUUCAGAUACCUCUAAGGAUGGUGAACUCAUUUCCUCCCUCUAGCUCACCCACCUCAUGGCGAGAAAUGCUUCCUUCUAAGAAAUCCAGACCUGACAGUAAGGUCCUAGCUCUGCCCUCUGGAUCCUACCCAACCUGUUUGCCAAGUCCACAGGACUGUCUUUCACAAGGAACAAGGCCUGUGCUCCUCUGGAGGCUUCAUUUA